rnacentral:piRNA from 1 species
UUCUUGUUAGAAUACUUGUAUUUAUGCUGA